UGGGGAAUUUUAGACAAUGGGCGAAAGCCUGAUCCAGCAAUGCCGCGUGUGUGAAGAAGGCCUUCGGGUUGUAAAGCACUUUUGUCCGGAAAGAAAUCCUUGGCUCUAAUACAGUCGGGGGAUGACGGUACCGGAAGAAUAAGCACCGGCUAACUACGUGCCAGCAGCCGCGGUAAUACGUAGGGUGCAAGCGUUAAUCGGAAUUACUGGGCGUAAAGCGUGCGCAGGCGGUUUGCUAAGACCGAUGUGAAAUCCCCGGGCUCAACCUGGGAACUGCAUUGGUGACUGGCAGGCUAGAGUAUGGCAGAGGGGGGUAGAAUUCCACGUGUAGCAGUGAAAUGCGUAGAGAUGUGGAGGAAUACCGAUGGCGAAGGCAGCCCCCUGGGCCAAUACUGACGCUCAUGCACGAAAGCGUGGGGAGCAAAACAGGAUUAGAUACCCUGGUAGUCCACGCCCUAAACGAUGUCAACUAGUUGUUGGGGAUUCAUUUCCUUAGUAACGUAGCUAACGCGUGAAGUUGACCGCCUGGGGAGUACGGUCGCAAGAUUAAAACUCAAA
rnacentral:rRNA from 1 species